rnacentral:tRNA from 1 species
GUGGCUGUCGCCGAAAUGGACAGGCGCCAGAUUGCAAAUCUGGUCUAUGCGGGUUCGAAUCCCGUCAGCCACUCCA